GCUGCAGGGAUUCCCUUCGGGGAGGAACAGUAGCUGUCUGAGUGGCGGACGGGUGAGUAACGCGUGGGCAACCUGCCCCAUACCGGGGGAUAACAGCCGGAAACGGCUGCUAAUACCGCAUACGCCCAGGAGGCUGCAUAGCUUCCUGGGGAAAACUCCGGUGGUAUGGGAUGGGCCCGCGUCUGAUUAGCUCGUUGGCGGGGUAACGGCCCACCAAGGCAACGAUCAGUAGCCGGCCUGAGAGGGCGGCCGGCCACAUUGGGACUGAGACACGGCCCAGACUCCUGCGGGAGGCAGCAGUGGGGAAUAUUGCACAAUGGGGGAAACCCUGAUGCAGCGACGCCGCGUGAGCGAUGAAGUAUCUCGGUAUGUAAAGCUCUAUCAGCAGGGAAGAAAGUGACAGUACCUGACUAAGAAGCCCCGGCUAACUACGUGCCAGCAGCCGCGGUAAUACGUAGGGGGCAAGCGUUAUCCGGAUUCACUGGGCGUAAAGGGAGCGCAGGCGGCACGGCAAGUCUGGUGUGAAAACCCGGGGCUCAACCCCGGGACUGCAUUGGAAACUGCCGGGCUGGAGUGUCGGAGGGGUAAGCGGAAUUCCUAGUGUAGCGGUGAAAUGCGUAGAUAUUAGGAGGAACACCAGUGGCGGAGGCGGCUUACUGGACGAUGACUGACGCUGAGGCUCGAAAGCGUGGGGAGCAAACAGGAUUAGAUACCCUGGUAGUCCACGCCGUAAACGAUGA
rnacentral:rRNA from 1 species